UAAAGUGUGACUGUGUCCAUCAACCUCUGAAGAUCACCUACAAAAAAGCUGCCAUCUUUGAGAUCCGGUAUCUGGUGAUUUUUCUUAUGGAUAA